GUUCCCGUUUGGUAUGUCUACCGCCGUUGCACGUGUGUUUUUACGCUUCGUUUUUUUUGCUAUAAUUUAAUGAUUUUACACGUCCUGCGCGUGUUACUUGUGUCAUUUGGAAGGAAGGAACCGCUGGCUAUAAUCGAACUGCUAUGGUGAGGAAAAAGUUACGGAACGAAGUCAUGCGAGAUACGCUAAACAGGGUGCACGAGGCGACACGGAGGAAGCGUUAAAAGUAACGAAAGCCACAAAAAGCCCGCUGAGCAGCUUUGGAAAAGACGAAAGACUGCAUUGGUAUGUUGUGGAAGCCACGAAAAUUACGAAGAGCCUCGAGUCGUCCAAGGGGGUGGCAACAGCCGAGGAUUAAAAGACUGUGUGUAGCAAGUUCGACAACACCGUUAUUCAGCUGAAGAACAGUUUGUCCUCGAUGGUGUAAAGAGAGCUCAAAUAAAUGUUCUGUGGUGGUAUA